CCUUGUGCUUAGUGUUGUAAGCUUUUGCAGUGAUCGUCUUUGUGAAAUACAAAUUGUUGAAAAUGGCGAAUCAGCAGCAAGGAUCGAGUCGGCCAUGGAUUCUCGAAGCAUUACCUCUUCUAGUAGUCAUACUAAUCGCUGCUCAUGUUCUCGCUUUGGUGUACUGGAUUUACCGGGUAGCAACUGAGAAACAGCCUCAGAGAAGUAAAAAGCACUAGCAAAUGUAGAUAGAUUGAUUUCAUUUUGCUUCAGCUUGUAGGAAAAUGCAAGGGAUUCAUUCUAUAC